GACGAACCGAGCGAACGUUGUUCGGAAUCACUGGGCUUAAAGGGCGCGUAGGCGGGCUGCCGCGUCCGGGGUGAAAUCCCACGGCUCAACCGUGGAACGGCCCCGGGUACGGGCGGCCUCGAGGGGGGUAGGGGCGUGCGGAACUGUGGGUGGAGCGGUGAAAUGCGUUGAUAUCCAUAGGAACUCCGGUGGCGAAGGCGGCACGCUGGACCCCCACUGACGCUGAGGCGCGAAAGCCAGGGGAGCGAACGGG
rnacentral:rRNA from 1 species